rnacentral:rRNA from 1 species
AAAGAAAGGUGAAAUUUUAUCUUUAAAGAUAAACAACUAUUAAAAUUGAAUGCUUAAAAUGUUUUUGGAGCUGUAAGACAUAAAUUCUUAGUUACAAAAUGCCUUUUGCAUUAUGAGUCAGUAAGUAAAAAUACAUAGCAAGCUUAAAGAAAAAAAAAGCGUAGUGAAAACAAAUACUUAUAAUGUAAUUUAGUUAUGUUUUUUUAACCCGAAGCCAUGUGAUCUAGUCAUGAGCUGGUUGAAUUUAUGGUAAUACAUAAAAGAAGACCUAAGCUUUAUAUGUUGCAAAAUAUUAGUGUGACUUGUGAUUAGGUAGGUGAAAGAUCAAACAAACUUGGUAAUAGCUGGUUUUCCGCGAAAAUUAUUUUAGUAAUGCGUUAUAGUAAUAAAUAUAAAAAGUAAAGCUCUAAUUAAAUUUUAGUAGCUUAUAAAGCUAAAUUCUAUUUUGUUAAACUUUGAAUUAAAAUAUUUAUAUAUAGCAGACAGACUUUAAGCACUAAGGUUUAAAGUCAAGAGGGAAAAAACCCAGACCGUAGGUUAAAGUUCCUAAAUUUUUUGUUAGUAAAAGGUUUUUUUUUAAUCCGUAUAAUUAUAAAAGGUAAGCUUAGAAGCAGCUAGCCCUUAGUAAUCGCGUUCUAGC